UGUGGUAACUGACUUUCCUAGGUC
rnacentral:piRNA from 1 species